AAAAAGACUUUUUUGAAAGUCACCUAAAGUAUUUUUUUAAACAAAA
rfam:Helianthus annuus linkage group 15, whole genome shotgun sequence.